rnacentral:rRNA from 1 species
GACGAACGCUGGCGGCGUGCCUAAUACAUGCAAGUUGAGCGCUGAAGGUUGGUGCUUGUACCAACUGGAUGAGCAGCGAACGGGUGAGUAACGCGUGGGGAAUCUGCCUUUGAGCGGGGGACAACAUUUGGAAACGAAUGCUAAUACCGCAUAAAAACUUUAAACACAAGUUUUAAGUUUGAAAGAUGCAAUUGCAUCACUCAAAGAUGAUCCCGCGUUGUAUUAGCUAGUUGGUGAGGUAAAGGCUCACCAAGGCGAUGAUACAUAGCCGACCUGAGAGGGUGAUCGGCCACAUUGGGACUGAGACACGGCCCAAACUCCUACGGGAGGCAGCAGUAGGGAAUCUUCGGCAAUGGACGAAAGUCUGACCGAGCAACGCCGCGUGAGUGAAGAAGGGUGUCGGAUCGUAAAACUCUGUUGGUAGAGAAGAACGUUGGUGAGAGUGGAAAGCUCAUCAAGUGACGGUAACUACCCAGAAAGGGACGGCUAACUACGUG